CCAUCCGCAGCUCGCGGCGCGAGUGGGGGUUGCCGAGGGCGAGCCGGUCGCGGUGGUCUCCCGCCGCGGUCGGGCGGUCGCACCGGCCCGGGUGAGC
rnacentral:tRNA from 1 species